ensembl:lncRNA
CAUCAGGGCACUUGACCUUGAGUGGAAUUUUCCUCAUUCCUAUGAACAGUAAGGUUGUUUUCGUUAGCUAGGGAGGCAAUAAAUGUUUAUGCCUAAUUUAAGCAAUUGCAGACAGUACCUAUUAUGUUUGGAGUAGUGGAUUUUAACAGCAAAGACGAAUUGGAAAAAAAAAGUAUAACUGCCUUUUUAUUAAGACGUAAAUCCAUGGAGGUUUAAUUGGAAGGAGACAGGUGAAAGAGAGCAGUACUUUGCCUCCUUCCAGAAAUUCUCCCACGUAACAUUCUCAGCAGGGUAGUAAGUGCCAACAGAUUCCGCCAAGGAAACAAAAGACAGAAUGAUUUUAUCACAAGCACAGUUUUCACUGGGAAUCCUGUGAUCUGCAGGUGGGUCACUUAAUCACUGAAGGAGAUCAGCUUGGUCAUGCAAGACCUGCUUUUCCUGAAUCCAUGCUGACUGCUCUUAGAAGCAACAAGAAGGCUCGAAGAAAAUGGACAUGCAAGAGCUGUAAGAAAGCAUCAGCUGUGGCAAAGGAAAAGGAAAGCUGCGUCUCUGCUCAAAAGGAUGCCAGACCCUGACAAGGGCCAGAUCUACAAAUGCAAUGAAUGGACUCUGCCAAGGUAAAUGAAAUGGCACCAGCAUGUACCAACAGAGAAAGUGGCCCUACUCAGCGCUCUCUUUCUACAAUGGUGAGCUGGCUAGAAAGCAGCUGAUCGGAGGCUAGAAGACUUUAUGCAGCUAACAUUCAUUUAGAGAUGGACAAGGAGGUUUCAUUCUCACAAAACACUGAGUAUAAGAUGGACAGCACUUCGUAACAGCGGUUCCUCUGACAAACCUUAGAGUGAGAAGAACAUCUUUGUCGACCUUGGUACAACUGAGAUCCUCAGGAAAUCUCAGUUCUGAGAAAACAGGAGGUCUCCAAGCUGCAGUUUCAGGGUGUCAAGCACAAGAAUUGAUCUACUGAGGAAGCCAGUUAUUCUCCCUCCGCAGUCAACAAAAAGGGAGAAGAUCUCUCCAAGAGCAACCAUCCUCAUCCCCAACAUGGCUGCCUGGAAUAGCCUUGCAGGCCUCAAUCAAAAAUGACACAAGACAACAGAUGGAUGCAAGUACACGGGGGAAACAGAAGACAAAACAUUUAUUCAUUUAGUAAGCAUCAGCCAUGGUGCACCAGCUGCUCAGGUCCUGGACUCAGAUGCAAGUCAUUUGUUUUUUCUUCAGAUGGAAAACUCAACUUCCUCUUAUGAACUCCUCAGCUGCUAACAACUGCAAAGAGUGAUAGAGCACAAGUCUUCUUCUAACCAAGAGGUUUUGCUGAGAGUGAUGCUUCAGGUCUUUGGUAUCUGCUCGGUGGCAUGGAAGACAUCCCAUUUUAGAUUGCCAUGCACAUCCCAGAAAAGUGGCAUAACUACCAAGCUUUGUUUGGGGUGGGCUGGGGGACAAGAAAGGAGAAGAAAGCAGAGGAGCUGGAGUAAGAUACUGUCCAACUCUAAAUGUUCUCCUCAAAAUGCCUCACACCGUAGCCCAGUAAUUUGAAGACUCCUCUCUGAGUUGAGUUGAUGAGAAUUAAGGUCUUAAUACUUUCUGUUCCUCCUGCCAGCAGGGGCUAUGCCCAGUGGAUAACUGGUUCUACAGGUACUCCGACCAGAAAUUCAUUUCACUUUACUGUAGAUAUGCUGUUGUUGAGAGCUUUUUUUCACAAACUGAUUUUUUCUGUUUGAAAAAUGGUUCCUCCUAAACAUUCCUAGCCAGCUCCACUCUAUAUUUGCUAAAGACGUGACUUCAAAUACAUUUUUGCAUUGUUAUUGUUGUCUUCCUUUUUUUUUUUUUUUUCUGUUGACCUUUUAUUCUGUCUGUUCCAAUGCCAGAAUUACAAAGGCCAUGUGACAUGAGUGUAACAGUGUUCCACCUAGGACAUAUUUUGAGAACAUCAGGUCCAUGGUUUCCCAGCAUCAGACAUAGCAGAUUUUUUGCUGUCCAUUUUGGUUCUUAGGUAAUUAGUCAUUCCACACAUUUUUUACAGCUGAUGAUCGUGAGCAGAAGCUUUGUCCAAGAAAUGAUCAGUUAAGCCAUGUAUUGGCUGUGUGGUCUUUGAAUGACAAUACUGCUCAGGUAUACAUUUACUGCAUUUGUGUUUUAUCUGCUAGUGCAUCUCUACUGACAUUGAAGGGCACUGUGAGCCUUUGCAGAAUGAAACUGUGCAAAGUCAUGUAUUUUGUUCUUACUGUGGAGAUAUCCUCUGCUUACAGAUUGCAUGCUGUAGUACCACAGCUGGACACUUAGUGGUCCAUGAGCAGGGGUGGGUCAUAUGGAAGAACUGGACUGGUCCUCCCCCCAACCUGAUGGGUAGCAACAUCCGUCACUCUUGCUCAUAGGUUUGGGACCAAGCUUGCAGAUAGCUGGAGUACACUGUUCUGCCUGGCAGGGCUUUAACUUGCAGAGUUAACUUUACUCAAGAGAAAAUUAUGCCAGAUCUUUGCCUUUGAAGAUUUCGGUAAACUUCUUUUUCAGGGAAAAAGUGUUGCCAACUGGGAUUUUUUGUGAGUUAUCUGCUUUUCAAAGAUCUUUGUGAGAGGGGCCUGGUUAAGGGCAUUGCUAGGGGAAACCAAUUAUAAUUUUCAAAUACGUUAGACUUAAACAAACAUUUAAUUAAACUGAGACCAGCUCUUUCAGCCAUUGCCUGUCUUCUCCUUUUUGUAGAGUUGGAAAAUUCUGGGAAAUUCCUGAUGCUACACAUUUUUUAACAGUGUCAGCAAACUCUUCAAACCAAUUUUCUGUACUUCCUUUUCCUUUCUCUUACUUCUCUCCUACUCCUUCUCGGAGACACUGUAGCCUACUUUUUAAUCUCUUAAUUUUCCAUUUUCCCUCAAUUUCUUGCAAUCUCCAAUUUCCUUCAAACUUUUUCUAUCUUCGCUCAUUACUCCCUGUUCCCUUUUCCAUGUUUUUCUUUUCCACUCCCUCUUUCCCCAGCUCAGCAGAAACUCACUCACAAACUGAGCUAUCUCCCCAGCAUCCUAGUGAUCCUAGUGACUCUAGUGAUGGAUAGAAAUAUCCUAAAUCUUAGCAGCUGUCGGUCAGAUGGGCUGACCAUCCCCUCCCUGAUUUGCAUCAUCCUUCUCCAAAGAUCCAUUCACAUUUGAUGACAGCAGAGGCUGUAUGUGAGCUGGAAAGAGGUGGAAUGAAAAAGGAAGAUGUUUUUGUCACUUACUGAGAAGCACCAAAUGGCUGCCAAGCUGCCCAGGAAAACCCGCAGGGUGUGGGGAGGCAACAGAGGAGGGGGUCACAUACUAUGUGACAUACAGCAUACAACAAUAUGUUCCUACUGAGGUACUGUAAUGCUGGUUUUAUGGUAUUGUCAGCAUUAUAGCUACAACAGAGCAUGCAACGUUAGAUGCUGAGUGUGAGUCUUUGCAGUUAUUAAAAACUAUAAAUAUCUUCUAUAAAAGUGAAGGGAAAAUAUUGACCACAUGAUGUUUUUCUUACGAAAACAUCCAACCAAUCCUAGUUUGCACCAGGUUUAAAGUUCCCCCUUCCUCCAAUGUAAUUUGAUUUCACAUUGUCUUGCUUUUUCUUUUUCUUUGCCUUUUUCUUUUUUUUCCUCAAGGACUUCCAAAGGUUAAGUGUACUUGCAUGGCAGGACAUGAUUAAGGAGCUCAAUAUUGUACUGAGAUAAAGUAAAUGUAAACAGUACUAUCAUCUUUAUUUUAUAGGGGGACAAAGAAGGUAUUGCACAGUAGCUUGUGAUGUUGGCUGAUAUUAGGUACACGUUAAUGCACUAAACUGACUAUUUUUUACAUAUCUUCAACCAUACAAGUUUAUCAGACGUGGGCAGCAAAUACAGAGGCCUACUUCUACAAACAAAUGAACUGGGCAUAACUUUAUCUGUUCCUAUAGCUUUGUGAGAGUUAUGGCAUUAUUUGCAAAAUAAAAAAUAAGAAUUAAAAUGACUCAGCAAAACUCAAAUUCUGUUCAAAAAAAUGUGACCAAAUUCUUACACACAACUCCUCUGCAGGCUUCUGCUCAGACAUGUUUUUCUCUUGCUCUAUGCCAAACAUAAAACAUGAUUUUUUUUUUUUCUAUUUUAAAGUAUGCAAGUUGUUAAACAAAAUCCUGUAAACUUGGCCUGUCAACCUUAACUUCUAGGCUUUCUAACUUAUAAAUCUAGUUAGCCAUAAAUGUCAACAUGCGCUGUUCUUUUACUGUAAUUAAAGUCUUGAAGGCAUUUUGCUUUACAUCUUCAGGUAUUCUGUGAAGACCUACGACUUUUUCCACUUAUCAAUUCAUUCUCAAGUGCAGAGGGUCUUUUAAAAUUUUCACAAUGUAGAGAAGUUAUUCCAGCAAGAUUCAGCAGACUGAGGAUUCAGUGACAGUCUAAAUUAAUUUGGUUCAGGUGAGGAGGUGUUUUCAUGACAGCGAGCCUGCUUAUAAAUUCUGUUUCAGCCAUGAGCAGACUUUUUAGACUAGAGGCAUUUCAAAAGUGAAGAAAAUAUUUAGAUCCUACUGAAAAUAAACAAUUUCUUGACUUCAAGAAAAAAAUGUAAAAAUGUAUUCAAAGUAAUGGUAGAUUCUCUUCUGGUUACAGUUCUUGGAUCGAACUAGAAAGAUAAGACAUAUUAGAGAUCACACUCAAUGUCUGUCAAUUAAUGGAUUUGAUAAUGGUGCUCUGAAUUUUGGAAAGCAAAUAGUUGUUUCGUUGUAGAUUUGGUUGCAAAAGCCUUUCUCUUCAUUUUCAUACAGGCACAAAGGUUCUUAAAAAAAACAACAAAUUGAUGAUAUAUCACUAUGAUAAUAUAUGUUUGGUUAUAAAGAAAAACAAAAUACGACACUCUUCAUGAAUCUUCGCACCACCUCUCCUAUAUAACUCCCAUCCUUUUGACAAGGAUUAAAUUCCGCUGUCUUUUAAAAUAUGAAAGGUUUAAAAACCUUAUAAAGAACAAGACACAGAGCAUAACUUCUGUUUUUCAGUUUCAAAAGUAAACUGAUCUACAAUCAGUGUGGGGAUUUUAGUCACAUUCACAGAUUGUCAAUUGAAUGAAAGUAGUCAUUUCAAUUUUCUCUGUUUUCUAGAUACCAUUAAAGUACAGAUUCAGUGUUCUGUAAAUGGAAUCAAAUUAUUUAUUAUACCUAUUAAUAUACAUAUGAAUUAUCUUGAAUUGCACACAUCGGUUAUUGAGUAGCUUAAAUGAAUCACUAAAUACAUAAUAUAUUGCAUUACUUUGCCGCCUAUGGAAAAUAAUCCAGUGCUUGACAUUUACCAAACCACAGAAAUUUGACACACUAAGCAUGUCUGAAAGCAUCUCUCCUGUCUGAUCAAAUCACUACAUGUAAAAUGUUUCCUCCUAGUUAAAAUUUUCAUAAUAUCCUAGUAGAUAUUGUAUAUGUCAUGUCCAUCAUUUGGAGGGGAUGAUUUCCAUGCAGGACAUGAACAAAAGACAUUUCUCCUGUAUUUAGUGAUAAAGGUCUUCUCACAAAAUCUACUUCUUGCUAUUAGGAUUUCACGUGUGUGAGUAAAGAGUAGCAACCUUAAAGUAUUUCUAAAACUCUAAAUUACUUCCCCAGUGUAAGGAAUUAACAACUAAUGGGAUUUGCUAUGUCUUACGGUAUGAAUAAAUAUAUGGAGCUUUUUCUGAGGAAUUAGAUCUUGUAAGCCAUGUGUUUCUCUGAUUUUUAUAUCUUUCAUGUUUGUCAUAAAAACUCAGAGAAUAUUAUACCUACCUCUGAGGACACGUUUUCUUUGUCUCUUAAAUGUCUACAUUCAUAUUUCACUUACAGCACUUUUGAAAAACAUUGCCUUCAGCUAUCUGAGAGCUGAAGCCUUCUUUGCAGCUACAGCAGAGGAGCAGCUGCAAUAGCAGUAAUGGAAGUGUGCAUUCCAGUCCUCCUCAUCAGAAGAAACCAUAUGCCAAAGCCCCCCACCCUCUUCCUUAAUUUUGAUGUGUCUUCCAAAGUUGUUAAUGAUACUGUUAUUUCUGAAAUGGAGGUUUUAGACUGUGAACACUGUUGAUUUGUUUUUACAAACUAUUUUUAUCUAAUAACAACUUCAGUAGUUGCCAAACUGCCCUAAAUUUGCACUGAGUUCAGAUGACCAACAGCAAAGCAUCUCAGGUGAUGCUCACGUGACUCUAAGUCUCUGUCCUUAAAAGAAAAGGUAAUGUUGUCUAAGUUCUAGCUUAAGCACGUGUGUCAGUGGCAGAUGUUCUUGGCAAUUGUUAAAUGAGCUCCAGAUGGCAGCUUAGAAGUUUGACCUUAAACAUUUUCUAACCUUCAGCUGUAAUUUUUAAAUGAAGAAAUGUGUAGAUGCAUAGCUUGUUCAGUUUUUCUCCUGGAUUCAGACAGAAGAUAAGAUGAUGAGGUUCAUUAAGAAGAUGGAUGAUGAUAUUAUCUUGUCUUGAAUUCAUCGCAAGUGAAGUUUGAAGGAAUCAUCUGUUCACCAUUACUUAAAUAAAUAAAUAAAUAAAUAAAUAUAAAGAUUUUAAGGGGAAAGAAACAGUCCAGUAAUUUUGUUCUUUUUAGUUCCCAUAAAAAAUAAAGCACAACAACUUUCUGUCUGAAUCUUUUUCUCAUUGUUUGAUAAAAUAUCAUCUAUUUAUGCAGAUUGCUUUCUUUCAAGCUGUCCAGAGUAAACCCUAACUCAGUGUGUUUAUCCUAAAAGGGAAUGAACCAUUCAGCUUUCAGGUUUCGGUAACUCUUUUAAUUUGCUUUCUCCUUCAAGAGAUGAUGAACAUGUAUUUAGAUCAUUUACUACUCUUGGUAGAGAGCAGUAAAUUUACUACUCUUAUCAGACAGUUUGCCAGAGGCCAUAAGGAAGUUCAUCUCCAUGGAAAGCUUUAUAUUUUAGAAAAUAAUGUACAAAAUCAUCUUUCUUGCCCACUGGAAUUGUUCUCUACAAAUGCAGAGAAAAAGGAGGACAACUCAUUCACUUCCCAAUCAGAAAAUAAA